GACGAACCGUGCGAACGUUGCUCGGAAUCACUGGGCGUAAAGGGCGUGUAGGCGGGACGGUAAGUCGGGCGUGAAAUCCCUAGGCUCAACCUAGGAACUGCACUCGAAACUACCAUUCUUGAGUGUCGGAGAGGAAAGCGGAAUUCCUGGUGUAGAGGUGAAAUUCGUAGAUAUCAGGAGGAACACCAGUGGCGAAGGCGGCUUUCUGGACGAUAACUGACGCUGAGACGCGAAAGCGUGGGGAGCAAACAGG
rnacentral:rRNA from 1 species